GAUGAACGCUAGCUACAGGCUUAACACAUGCAAGUCGUGGGGCAGCGGAUACUUAGCUUGCUCAGUAUGCCGGCGACCGGCGCACGGGUGAGUAACGCGUACCGAACCUGCCCAUCACACAUGGAUAGGCUUGCGAAAUCAAGAUUAAUAUCUGAUGGUCUCAAUUUUAUGCAUGUAUGAUUGAGUAAGGCCUUCGGGCGGUGAUGGAUGGCGGUGCGUCCCAUUAGGAAGUUGGCGGGGUAACGGCCCACCAAUCCUUCGAUGGGUAGGGGUUCUGAGAGGAAGGUCCCCCACAUUGGAACUGAGAUACGGUCCAAACUCAUACGGGAGGCAGCAGUGAGGAAUAUUGGUCAAUGGGCGAGAGACUGAACCAGCCAAGUAGAGUGCGGGAUGAAGGCCCUUGUGGUCGUAAACCGCUUUUAUCAGUGAAUAAAGUGCACCACGUGUGGUGUCAUUGCAGGUAGCUGAAGAAAAAGGACCGGCUAAUUCCGUG
rnacentral:rRNA from 1 species